rnacentral:lncRNA from 1 species
CCUUAUAUUUGGCCCAUUCUCUUGUCAACUGAUUCCAUUUGAUCAAUUUUACUUGUAUGCACCCCCAUUCCAUUUUCUUUUAUUAUUUAAUUAUUGUUUCUUUUGUUUUUAUUUAAAUUACCUCAUUUUAUCCAAAAAUCCCCAAAUAAUUCAUGAAUAAUAUUUUGUAUGUUCUUUAAUUUUCCAUAUCUUUUUUUUCAUUUUUUAUUUAUUUUAAUAUUUGUUUUGAUUUUUAUAAUUAAAU